GCCAUGCAUGUCUGAGUUCAUACCUAGUUAACGUGAGACUGCGAAAGGCUCAGUACAUCAGUUAUAGUUUAUUCGAUUGUGAAAUCCACAUGGAUAACCGUGGAAAAUCUAGAGCUAAUACAUGCGAAAGAAACUUUCAUUGAGUUUUCAUAGCUUGAUGACAAGUGAUGCAUUUAUUAGAUUAAGCCAAUCGAUGAUAUUGCAGGCAACUGUGAUAUUGUUGCUGUGGUGAGUCUGGAUAACUGUGCCGAUCGUAUGGCCUUGUGCCGGCGACGUUUCGAUUAAAUUUCUGCCCUAUCAACUUGUUGGUAAGGUAGUGGCUUACCAAGGUGAUAACGGGUAACGGGGAAUCAGGGUUCGAUUCCGGAGAGGGAGCCUGAGAAACGGCUACCACAUCCAAGGAUGGCAGCAGGCGCGCAAAUUACCCAAUCCAGACACUGGGAGGUGGUGACGAGAAAUACCAGGUCGUUCCCAAAAGGAUUCGACACUGGAAUGAGUGCAACUUUAAAACGUAAACGAGUAACAACUGGAGGGCAAGUCUGGUGCCAGCAGCCGCGGUAAUUCCAGCUCCAGUAGUGUAUCCAAAAGUUGCUGCGGUUAAAACGCUCGUAGUUGGACAAGAGAGUAGCCUGGUGCGGGCGGGGAGUGUUGUUAUUCUAUGUAAGCACUGUGUAAGAAAGAAGUUGUGUUUUUUGACAGGAAGCUGCAUAGAUGAAUCGCUACAAUUUUGCUACAACCCUGUGUAGUAGUUUGUCGACCAUGCUGCCUGACUACUUGUAAUGUUUCGUGAGAAUGUUACAUGAUCUUUAUUGUAUUGUGUUACGUGUCUUACGUAGUGUGCCUUGAAUAAAUCAGAGUGCUCAAAGCAAGCUGUACGCUUGAAUGUUAAUAGCAUGGAACGAAUGUUUAGUGGAAGUGAGUGUAUGAGUGGUACAUUUUGUACUGCUUUUAUACUCACAGCACCAACCACGAAGCGGAACAUUGGUUGCCGACUUCGGGUGAGGAUUAAGAGGGGCAUUUGGGGGCAUUAGUAUUUUGCCGCGAGAGGUGAAAUUCUUGGACCGGCAAAGGACUAACAAGUGCGAAAGCAGUUGCCAAGUAUGUUCCCAUUAAUCAAGAACGAAAGUGAGAGGUUCGAAGACGAUCAGAUACCGUCCUAGUUCUCACCGUAAACGAUGCCAACCCGGGAUCAGUUCGGAUGCAAAUGUUUGAUCCAGGUUGGUCCCCCUGGGAAACCUUGAGUGUUUAGGUUCCGGGGGGAGUAUGGUUGCAAGGCUGAAACUUAAAGGAAUUGACGGAAGGGCACCACCAGGGGUGGAGCCUGCGGCUUAAUUUGACUCAACACGGGAAAACUCACCUGGUCCGGACAUCGAUAGGAUUGACAGACUAAUAGAUCUUUCAUGAUACGGUGGGUGGUGGUGCAUGGCCGUUCUUAGUUCGUGGAGCGAUCUGUCAGGUUUAUUCCGGUAACGAACGAGAUCACGUUCUUCAUUUAGGGAACUGGUGACCAAGUGUUGGCAAUGGUAAUCUACUGAUGGUGCCAUAUUUCGAUGUGGUAUCAUUGGUUUGUUAUUAGUGUUGAUACUUGACACACUAGUAUGUGUGCAGCAAUGCAUGCCUCUAUGAGG
rnacentral:rRNA from 1 species